CAGGUAGUUGUAGCUGGUGUGGAGGAACUGGUUGACCAAGCGGUUCACGCCCGCUUCGCUCUCGGUGUGGUAGUUCUGGCGGAUCUGGGAGCUCAUGGCGCAAAUCGACGUCGGCUUUUAGGCUGGCUGAGAAAUUGGUGCGGGUUGCGGCUACGACCCUGCUCCGUUCAAGCACUGUUGAAGCAAGAGCAAAGGAACGACAGCCAGAAAUGGAUCGGUCUAAGGCGGGAGCGCCCCGGUGGAGGCUUUUAUAGGCAGUUCUGGAAGGCUCUUCCAAAAACCUCUCUCAGUGCUGAGUGCAAAUGCUACGUCCCGCCCUCUUUGUUUGCGCUGGGAGGGGGAUCUAGGAAGGACUCAGGACUUCUUGCCUGCUAGGGGGAGGCGAGCUUGAGCCUGAUUUUGUGGGUCGUUACUGUUUAGCUAAGUUCCACUUAUCUUCAACGAUUUGCAACCUUCGAGCCUUGAAAUUGUUGUCAAGAGAGGACAAUCCUAUGCAUGUCUACAUCUGAGCAGAUUUACCUAGGACAGGAGAAAAACCCCACUGAAAUUUACGUGUUAAAUUCAGUAAGGGUUUUUCCCGUCUACAGUACAACACUAAAUGUCCGCUUCCUCUGUUGAGCAGAAUGGACCUUCUGAUAAGAUGGUUUCUGUGGGGAGUCCCUCACCUACAGAGCGCAGUGAUCACCUGGGUAUAUAUAACAGGCAGCUUCAAACCCCAUUCCUAAGAUGAAGGCAUUCUGGAACCUGCUCUGCUAGAAUGAGGUUUUGGACAUCAAGAUCAAGAAUGAAGAUUUGGUACUCCACCAUGUUCAGCCCUUUGUUUGGUUUCUGCAAUAUUAAAGGCUGAGGGACUUCCCAAGCAAUCAAAGCAAAUGCAGCCCCUGCGCCAAGGUACGAUUUCUCCUCAAUGAAACAUUCACUCUCUAAAAUGGGUUCCUGUGUCCCUGUCUGUUUUUCACAGUCCACUCAACUACCCCCUCCGGAUUCUAUCAUUUCUUUUUGCUGCAUGUAUGGACCAGAAAUAAAACCCCUUCCCUGUUAACAAUAUCAAGUAGCACUUGAGAGAAUCUAAAAGAAUAAACAAUGCACAAGUA